AUGACUUUUAUAUACAGAUUCAGUCAAGGUUUACGUUUACGCCAAGUCGACAUGGUCCAGGAUGGCAUUGCUGGAAGCUCCGCCACCCUUACUAAAAUGACCCGUAAACUGAGAUUAGUCUGCAGGAAAGCCUUGAAGAUGUUCAAAAGGAAGACAGGACAACGCAUGGGUGGAAGAAGGGAAUUUAUUGUGAUAGAUGAAAGCAACAUCCGCCAUAAAAGGAAGAAGCAGCUCCGGGAGGAUGAAGUAUGGAGGUCAGCGCUGCACAUGCAUCACUCAGAAGUGACGUACACAGAAGCGCAGGGAAGAGAUCAAAACAAAACAACGGUCAUGAAUUAGAAAUACAAAUCGAGGAUUUGUACAGAACAAUGGAGGAUUUUGAUAUAAACCAAGAGGAGACUGGUUUUCCUUUGCUAAAGUAAGGAAACUUUGCUUCCUUUGCUCCUGUUAACAAACGUUGGUUUUCACGAGACUCACUAGUGCAUGCGCAACGCUGACCUCAUGCUUCAUCCGCCCGGAGCUGCUUCUGUGUACAACAGUGAGCACAAGCUACAUUAAAGUGAUUAUUAUGUUUUAAAUAUGGUU
ensembl:lncRNA